rnacentral:tRNA from 1 species
GCCCCCAUAGCUCAACUGGAUAGAGCACCGCUCUUCUAAAGCGGAUGUUGCAGGUUCGAGCCCUGCUGGGGGUA